rnacentral:rRNA from 1 species
GGCUUGGAAACAGCCAGUCUAUAAUGAAAACGUAAUAGUUCACUUG